rnacentral:rRNA from 1 species
ACGGGUGAGUAACACGUGGAUAACCUACCUAUAAGACUGGGAUAACUUCGGGAAACCGGAGCUAAUACCGGAUAACAUAUUGAACCGCAUGGUUCAAUAGUGAAAGGCGGCUUUGCUGUCACUUAUAGAUGGAUCCGCGCCGUAUUAGCUAGUUGGUAAGGUAACGGCUUACCAAGGCAACGAUACGUAGCCGACCUGAGAGGGUGAUCGGCCACACUGGAACUGAGACACGGUCCAGACUCCUACGGGAGGCAGCAGUAGGGAAUCUUCCGCAAUGGGCGAAAGCCUGACGGAGCAACGCCGCGUGAGUGAUGAAGGUCUUCGGAUCGUAAAACUCUGUUAUCAGGGAAGAACAAAUGUGUAAGUAACUGUGCACAUCUUGACGGUACCUGAUCAGAAAGCCACGGCUAACUACGUGCCAGCAGCCGCGGUAAUACGUAGGUGGCAAGCGUUAUCCGGAAUUAUUGGGCGUAAAGCGCGCGUAGGCGGUUUUUUAAGUCUGAUGUGAAAGCCCACGGCUCAACCGUGGAGGGUCAUUGGAAACUGGAAAACUUGAGUGCAGAAGAGGAAAGUGGAAUUCC